rnacentral:rRNA from 1 species
AGAGUUUGAUCAUGGCUCAGAUUGAACGCUGGCGGCAGGCCUAACACAUGCAAGUCGAGCGGUAGCACAGAGAGCUUGCUCUCGGGUGACGAGCGGCGGACGGGUGAGUAAUGUCUGGGAAACUGCCUGAUGGAGGGGGAUAACUACUGGAAACGGUAGCUAAUACCGCAUAACGUCGCAAGACCAAAGUGGGGGACCUUCGGGCCUCAUGCCAUCAGAUGUGCCCAGAUGGGAUUAGCUAGUAGGUGGGGUAACGGCUCACCUAGGCGACGAUCCCUAGCUGGUCUGAGAGGAUGACCAGCCACACUGGAACUGAGACACGGUCCAGACUCCUACGGGAGGCAGCAGUGGGGAAUAUUGCACAAUGGGCGCAAGCCUGAUGCAGCCAUGCCGCGUGUGUGAAGAAGGCCUUCGGGUUGUAAAGCACUUUCAGCGGGGAGGAAGGCGUUAAGGUUAAUAACCUUAUCGAUUGACGUUACCCGCAGAAGAAGCACCGGCUAACUCCGUGCCAGCAGCCGCGGUAAUACGGAGGGUGCAAGCGUUAAUCGGAAUUACUGGGCGUAAAGCGCACGCAGGCGGUCUGUCAAGUCGGAUGUGAAAUCCCCGGGCUCAACCUGGGAACUGCAUUCGAAACUGGCAGGCUAGAGUCUUGUAGAGGGGGGUAGAAUUCCAGGUGUAGCGGUGAAAUGCGUAGAGAUCUGGAGGAAUACCGGUGGCGAAGGCGGCCCCCUGGACAAAGACUGACGCUCAGGUGCGAAAGCGUGGGGAGCAAACAGGAUUAGAUACCCUGGUAGUCCACGCCGUAAACGAUGUCGAUUUGGAGGUUGUGCCCUUGAGGCGUGGCUUCCGGAGCUAACGCGUUAAAUCGACCGCCUGGGGAGUACGGCCGCAAGGUUAAAACUCAAAUGAAUUGACGGGGGCCCGCACAAGCGGUGGAGCAUGUGGUUUAAUUCGAUGCAACGCGAAGAACCUUACCUGGUCUUGACAUCCACAGAACUUAGCAGAGAUGCUUUGGUGCCUUCGGGAACUGUGAGACAGGUGCUGCAUGGCUGUCGUCAGCUCGUGUUGUGAAAUGUUGGGUUAAGUCCCGCAACGAGCGCAACCCUUAUCCUUUGUUGCCAGCGGUCCGGCCGGGAACUCAAAGGAGACUGCCAGUGAUAAACUGGAGGAAGGUGGGGAUGACGUCAAGUCAUCAUGGCCCUUACGACCAGGGCUACACACGUGCUACAAUGGCAUAUACAAAGAGAAGCGACCUCGCGAGAGCAAGCGGACCUCAUAAAGUAUGUCGUAGUCCGGAUUGGAGUCUGCAACUCGACUCCAUGAAGUCGGAAUCGCUAGUAAUCGUAGAUCAGAAUGCUACGGUGAAUACGUUCCCGGGCCUUGUACACACCGCCCGUCACACCAUGGGAGUGGGUUGCAAAAGAAGUAGGUAGCUUAACCUUCGGGAGGGCGCUUACCACUUUGUGAUUCAUGACUGGGGUGAAGUCGUAACAAGGUAACCGUAGGGGAACCUGCGGUUGGAUCACCU